rnacentral:rRNA from 1 species
AUUGAACGCUGGCGGCAUGCUUUACACAUGCAAGUCGAACGGCAGCGCGGGCUUCGGCCUGGCGGCGAGUGGCGAACGGGUGAGUAAUGCAUCGGAACGUGCCCAGUAGUGGGGGAUAGCCCGGCGAAAGCCGGAUUAAUACCGCAUACGACCUGAGGGUGAAAGCGGGGGACCGAAAGGCCUCGCGCUAUUGGAGCGGCCGAUGUCGGAUUAGCUAGUUGGUGGGGUAAAGGCUUACCAAGGCGGCGAUCCGUAGCUGGUCUGAGAGGACGACCAGCCACACUGGGACUGAGACACGGCCCAGACUCCUACGGGAGGCAGCAGUGGGGAAUUUUGGACAAUGGGGGCAACCCUGAUCCAGCCAUGCCGCGUGCGGGAAGAAGGCCUUCGGGUUGUAAACCGCUUUUGUUCGGGAAGAAAUGCUCUGGGCUAAUACCCCGGGGGGAUGACGGUACCGGAAGAAUAAGCACCGGCUAACUACGUG